GGCACCUUCUGAGAGGCUGAUAGUGCUUUGACAUGGCUGUAGCCUUGCUUAGAAUCAAUUUUCCAUCUAAAAUCUCUCUGUUCUCACUCUUACAACAAUGAAAAGCCAUUGAGCAGUAUCAGCUGGGCAUAGAUAACAUCGAGUUUGCAUUUUCAAAGAUCCUCCUGGUCAAAAUGUGGAGUUAGGAGUGUGGAUGAUGUCCAAGACAUUUGCAGUUUUCCAAGUGUAACAAGAUGCAAGCUUGCCAGAGAAAAGCCAAAAUUCCUGAAAAUUUUGGAAUGUUUUUGAGCACACGGGACUUCACCUUAUACAUGGAGAUGAUGGAAAGUGAAAAAUUGAAGAUGACACCUGGAAUAGGGUCUCAGGCAAUCAGGCAUCCAGAGAAAAUAAGAGAUGUCUGAUGAUUAGGCGAGAACUUGAGGCUGAGGACAUAUCAUCAUACUACACAGUUGACCCUUGAACAAUAAGAAUUGGAACUGUGUGAGUCCACUUAUACGUGGAUUUUCUUCUGCCUCUGCGACUCCUGAGACAGCAAAACCAACCCUUCCUCUUCCUCUUCAGCCUACUCAACAUGAAGACAAGGAGGAUGAAGAGUUUUGUGAUAAUCCACUUCCACUUAAUGAAUAGAAUUUUACACUUUCCAAGGAGAAUGCUCCAGGCCCCGAAGCUCACAUUGUAAGAAAGUGCUUGGAAAUGAUCUCUCGAGUACCCAGACUCCAAAACUUCUUCAGAAAUAUAAUGGAGACACUUUCAGUUGGCUUUCUUCAUCAUUUGUUUCCCUUUGUCACUGUGAUGCUAAUAACCAACAAAAAGGUGUUGUACAUAGAUGGAGUGGCAAGUGCAUAAUUCAGACGGGAUAAUCAGAUGGUGAAUUAUCAAAAGUAAUAAUACAUGUAUUAAAAGCAAUAA
ensembl:lncRNA LINC03114 long intergenic non-protein coding RNA 3114